GGAGAGAUGGCUCAGUGGUUAAGAGCACUGGAUGUUUUUUCAGAGGACCUGGGUUCAAUUCCCAGCACCC
rnacentral:tRNA from 1 species